UACAGAGGUCUCAAGCGUUGUUCGGAUUUAUUGGGCGUAAAGGGCGCGUAGGCGGCGGGGUAAGUCGGGUGUGAAAUCUCAGGGCUCAACCCUGAAACUGCACUUGAUACUGCUCUGCUUGAGGACUGGAGAGGAGACUGGAAUUUACGGUGUAGCGGUGAAAUGCGUAGAUAUCGUAAGGAAGACCAGUGGCGAAGGCGGGUCUCUGGACAGUUCCUGACGCUGAGGCACGAAGGCCAGGGGAGCAAACGGG
rnacentral:rRNA from 1 species